GUCUCUGGAAAGGUGGAAAAGGCUUUGGCGAGCUUAUAGGAAGCACAAUAGUGGAGUUGAGUUGCAGGUAAUGUUAAGGAUUCGCUUGGGAUGGAUAGAUUCUCGGAACUGAAGACAGUGCUUGCUCAUCUGCCUUCUGUGAAUCACACAAUGGAUUUGCAUGGGAAUAGUGUGAAAAAUGAAGAAGGUUCAUCCAAUGCUGUGAAGACUUCAGAUUUAGAUGCUACUAUACCCAGAAAAGCAUGGAAAGGCAAGACCCCUUUCACAGAAGAGAAGGAGUUAGCACUGGAAGUCAAUAGCUUUAGGAGGACGGACUCUUACAAAGAUUGGGGGCAGUCAUCUUUCUUGGGGGCAAGUCAUCCCAUGGAACCUGUUGAUACUGAUCACAUGAAAGCAGCAUAUGUAGCAAUCAAUCAGGACAAGUCUGAAGCUGGGUGCUUGAUGAGAGGUCUGUCUGUAAAAGGCCCUUUUAUAGAAGAUAUUUCAAUUCAGGUUCCUGCAGUCAAAUCAAAUGAAGUGCUUCUAUCACCAAAAGAAAGAUCAAUCGAGGAACAAAAUGAAGUGGGCACAGAGAGUUCUUUGUUUUCUGUUCCCUGUGCAUCACAAUCAACAGAGGCGACAUGUGUAGGGCAUGAUUCUGAAGAAAAGGAAUGCGUCUGGGAUGCUUCCCUCCCCCCAAGUGGCAAUGUCAGUCCUCAUAGCAGCAUUGCGAGCACCAGUGUGAUAACUGCAAUGAGUAUUGUAAACAGCUGCACAAGCACGUAUCGAAGUGAAGGAAUUACUAGUGAUGGUAUGCUCAGUGUGGAAAGGACCUGUGGAAGUGUCAAGGGAAGUGUGCGAGGGGAUUCGCUUGAGAGUGCUAAAAGCAGCGUCAGCAGAGCAAGUGAUAGCAGUGGUCUCAGUGAUGAUAGUAACUGGAGUAAUGUUACUGGGAGUGCUAAUAAGCCUCACAAGGGGAAUGAUUCAAGAUGGAAAGCUAUUCUUGCAGUUAGGGCUAGGGAUGGUAUUUUGGGGAUGAGUCAUUUUCGACUUCUCAAACGGCUUGGUUGUGGUGAUAUUGGUAGUGUUUAUCUGUCUGAACUGAGUGGCACAAGAUGCUACUUUGCAAUUAAAGUUAUGGACAAGGCAUCAUUGGCGAGCAGGAAGAAGCUUACAAGGGCUCAAACUGAAAGAGAGAUUCUCCAGCUUCUGGAUCACCCGUUCCUGCCGACUUUGUACACACACUUUGAGACUGACAGGUUCUCAUGCUUGGUGAUGGAGUUCUGCCCUGGUGGUGAUUUGCACACACUGAGACAGCGCCAGCCUGGAAAGCACUUCUCUGAAUAUGCAGCAAGGUUUUAUGCUGCGGAAGUACUACUGGCCCUUGAAUAUCUCCACAUGCUUGGAAUUGUGUACAGAGAUCUGAAGCCUGAAAAUGUGCUUGUUCGUGAUGAUGGCCACAUAAUGCUUUCAGAUUUUGAUCUAUCAUUAAGGUGUGCUGUCUCACCAACACUAAUAAAAAUAUCAUCGUUUGAUUCUGAUUUUUCCAAACGGUCAGCUGGAGCAUUUUGCGUCCAGCCAGCCUGUGUUGAGCCAUCAUCAGUCUGCAUUCAGUCUUCAUGCUUCAUACCAAAAAUUUUCCCACAAAGAAACAAGGAAAAGGAAAGGAAGCCAAAGACCGAAUCGAUGCACCACUCUUCCGCCCUGCCUCAACUUGUAGCGGAGCCAACAUCUGCCCGGUCAAUGUCCUUUGUUGGGACACAUGAGUAUUUGGCCCCUGAAAUCAUUAAGGGAGAAGGCCAUGGAAGCGCUGUGGACUGGUGGACGUUCGGCAUAUUACUGCAUGAACUCUUGUAUGGAAAGACACCUUUUAAAGGCUCUGGCAAUAGGGCAACAUUGUUCAACGUGGUCGGCCAGCAGCUUCGGUUCCCUGAAACCCCAUCAACUAGUUAUGCAAGCAGAGAUUUGAUAAAAGGGCUUUUGGUUAAAGAGCCCCAGCAUCGUCUGGGUGUGAAAAGAGGCGCUACCGAGAUAAAGCAGCACCCUUUCUUUGAAGGUGUGAACUGGGCACUCAUACGAUGCAGCACACCACCGGAGGUACCGAGGCGUGUCGAGAUGGAACUUUCAUUGAAGUUUGGGGUUGCAGAAGGUGUGGAGAGUAGCAGUAAGAGGAUGCUAGGGGCAGACAUGAAAUCGGGAGGAAAGUACUUGGACUUCGAGUUCUUUUAGGGGGACUCUAAUUGUAGCUUAUGAUUCUCUCUUCAUGUGUUGAAUUCUACUCCAAUCUUGCUCAUCAGUUAAUACACAAACUCAGAUGAAAUUCCCUGGUCCUGGAAGAUCUCCAUCAUUAUUUUGUCUUCCUGAGGCUUGCAAUGGUCACAUACAUUGUAUUUGGAGGAUCUUUGCAAUGUAUCAAUAAACUAUUGAGUUGGAUCUGUUCAGAUUCAGAUUGUGUUGAUUUUGACAGAGGUUGGUCAUGGAUCCCAGCGCUUUGAAACUAUACAUCCAGAGUGACCUUCCAUGAUCGAAGGUUUGGAAGAUUAAAAGUUGCAGUGCUUCCUUUAGAUUCGGAGACCGUUGAUGGAGAACAUCCAAAGGCCAGAGAUGUUGGAUAUGUAUAAAGAGCUGAAAUCAUUCCUACCAAAAUUUGCCACAUGUAUUAUGUACACCCGAGAUGUUGGAUAUGUUUUUAGGGGUCUCAAUUUAUGUCUUCAUAUUGGUAAAGGAACCGUUUUAUUAUUAUUAUUAUAAAUGCCAUGUGUGCUAUGUCCACGAGAGGCUAUACAUAAAUGUCUCGUCCUAGUCACAGAGAUGGCAGACUGUUCAAUGCUCUGAACUGUUACUCCACCAGUCUAUUUUUUCGGUAAAAUAUUUUUAUUUUUUUUUUUUCA